UACAGAGGGUGCAAGCGUUGUUCGGAAUUAUUGGGCGUAAAGCGCGUGUAGGCGGCUUUGCAAGUCGGGUGUGAAAGCCCUCAGCUUAACUGAGGAAGUGCGCCCGAAACUGCAGAGCUUGAAUACCGGAGAGGAUGGCGGAAUUCCCCAAGUAGAGGUGAAAUUCGUAGAUAUGGGGAGGAACACCGGUGGCGAAGGCGGCAUCCUGGACCGGUAUUGACGCUGAGGAGCGAAAGCCAGGGGAGCAAACGGGG
rnacentral:rRNA from 1 species